rnacentral:misc_RNA from 1 species
AAGUCGUAACAAGGUUCCCGUAGGUGAACCUGCGGAAGGAUCAUUAACACUUUUUGAAAGAUUUCAUUUUUCUUUUUCGAAAAUGAAAUUUUACUUUACCCACAUUUUUGGAUGAAUUAACUUUUAUUAACCCUUUAUAAUUUUUAUACCCCAAAAAACAAAACUAAUACUAUUAUUUCUAACAUUUAUUUAAGAAAAACAUAAAAAAACAACUCUUAACAACGGAUAUCUAGGCUCUC